AAAUGUACUACUGGUAGUCAUGUGCUCACUAUCUCUGCCUUACUCUUGAUUCCUGCCUCCAGUGAACCCAGGAUGAAGGAGUGUUUCGACUCAUCUGACUCAUUAUGCCUUCUUUGCCCUGGAUCUUACACAGAAAUGCUCUCCAUACCUUGCCACUGCUGCUGGGAAGGAACAGGGGAGGAGUGACAUUGAGAUUCAAGACUAUUUUUCCUACCUCUUCAGUGCCUCUUUCAGCCAUAUGAAGUUAAAACCAGGUAAUGGGAGAAGAGGAGAGUAAAAGUGAAGAAGAAAGAGGCAAAACAAGUGACUAGACCACACGCUGAACAAGUUGUAGCUCUCAUUUACUUUUCAGAGAAUGUAAAAUGUUACAACUGCUUUGGAUAACAGUUUGGCAAUUUCUUUAAAAGUUAAGCAUAUAUAUAUAUAUAUAUAUAUAUAUAUAAUCAUAUAAUCUAGCCAUUUCACACAUCAGAAUUUACCCUCAUCCCCAAAUAAAAGCACAAAGAUGUGAAUGCCCAUAGCAGCUGCAUGUGUAAUAACUCAAAACUAUAAAAAACUCAAACACUCAUCAACAGUGAAUAAUUAAACAAAUUGUUUACAUUGCAAAAACAUUAUCAGUUGAAAGGAAUGAGCUACUGGUAGCAGCAACAAGGUACACAAAUCUAGAAAUAAUUAUGCUGAGGAAGAGAAGCCAGAAAAAUAUAAUAUAUAUUAUAUUAUCUCAUAUAUAUUAAAGAAUAGAGAAUGCAAACUAAUCUAUAGUGACAGAAAACAAAUCAGUGGCAAUCUGGGAAUGAGGGUAAGGGGUAAGAGGAAGGGAUUAAAAUGGGGCAUGAGUAAAAUUUUGGAAGUGAUAAGUAUAUUUAUUAUCUUGACUGGUUAUGGUUUUACAGAUACAUACUUAACGGUGAAAACUGGCAGAUUGUACAUUUUAAUAUGCAUAGUUUAUGAAAUGUCAAUUAUAUCUCAAUAAAUAUUAAGAUUAUAUAAGAAUAAUCUAGAGAAAUAAAACAUUUUUAAAAAAAUUAUAGUAAGAGUUGUUCUCUAACCAUUGUAGUUAAUCAGUUUUACUAAAGAAUAACCACAUAUAAAACCUUGUUCCCUUAUUUACAGAAAGUUUCUCCCGUACAGUUUGUACACUGUCUAUUCAUGUGAGCUAAUGCUUUAAAAAUUAACAUAUUAAUUUUCCUAUAUUAUAUGAACCUAGUGUUUUAUCCCAAUAAAUUAAUCAUCACAUUUUCUUUAUAGGUGUUUUUUUGUGGAAAAAAUUUAAUCAACCCAUAUCAUUUUUGUGUGCGAUCUUUCCUUAGUGAACAUUAAAUCUAAUCAUUUGUUAUUUGCAUUUGAAGUAAUUAUUUUAACAUGGGCUCUUUCCUAAGCACUUUGAAAAUUAGUCCUCUAAAGCCUUUUGUUGUAUAUAACUUUCUCUCUUGUGUUUUGUAUAAUUAUUAUUAUAUAGUAGUAUAAUUUAAAGGGGAAAUGUGCAAUAAACCCAUAUGCUUUAUUAUUAAAAGUAGGUACUGUAAGUUUUACUCCUAUGCCAAUUGGAUGGAAGAUCAAGAGUUGUGAUGAUCGGGAGGCUGAGGCAGGAGAAUGGCAUGAACCAGGGGGGCAGAGCUUGCGGUGAGCCGAGAUCGCACCACUGCACUCCAGCCUGGGUGACAGAGCGAGACUGUGUCUCAAAAAAUUAAAAAAUAAUAAUAAAAUAAAAUAAUAAAAAAAGAGUUGUGAUGAUCAUUUUCAGUUUUUAGUUUAACUGAAGAUAACAGAAACAGUCCAGAAUGGUCAAACUUUGACAUUUAUUAAAACAUUUAGAGACACUAAAACAUACAAACAAUUUUUGGUGGUUAAGACCAUGUGCUCUGGAAUAAGAAAUUGGUAUUUAAAUUCUUUCUAUUUACUGUUACAUUUAAGGCUUUGUUUAAAUGUUUAUGUGUAAAAAGAUCAAAAGCACUUUCAUAUAUUUCUUUAAAUAAUGUAUGCCAUUCAAUUUUUGCCGAAAGAGAUAAUAAAUCAGAGCAGACAAUGAAGA
rnacentral:lncRNA from 1 species